UCAAAUUAGAGCUUGUAUAAAGUAUUUCAUUUACAUUGAUAAGAAAUUAUAAUAAUAAUUAAUUUGA
rnacentral:tRNA from 1 species